rnacentral:lncRNA from 1 species
AGUAGUCAGAACCUCCAGACUGAGCAUGUCACAAGGAAGGACUGCUUUGCUGAAGCCACUCACUCCGGGAGAUUUAUAAUUGGAAGUUUGGCCCAGGGAGAUAAUCAGCCAAGAGCGCGCACGCACACACACACACACACACACACACACACACACACACACACUCUGAAGAAACCCAGUGGAGAUUCAGCACUAACCCACCACACACACACACACACACACACACACACACACACACACUCUCUGAAGAAACCCAGUGGAGAUUCAGCACUAACCCAGCACAGAAGAGGAGAAGAGACAUACAGAGGACAAGGCCAUGUCACAACAAGUGGAGACUGGAAUUAUGCAGCCACAAGCCAAGGAACCUCUGGAACCACCAGAAGCUGGAAAUGGCAGAGCCAGACCUUGAUUUCAUGCGAGAAGGUGGAGUAGGAGGAAGAGAAGGAGGAGAGUUAGAAGGAGUAGGAGGAGGAGGAAAACCUCCUGCAGGCUCGUCUGAGUAUAUUCCUAGGUGAUGGCAGAGGGGCAAGAAAGCAAGCAAAAAGAAGCACAGAAGCCCUCUCAUGGCCAAAACUGGCUUGGUGUCACUUUUACCUCAUUCUAUUGGUCAAAAAAAGUCAACAGGCUGAGCCCAGAGUCAGAGUGGGAGAGUACUGCAUGGUUACAUGACAGAGGAUGUGGAUAUGAGGAAUCGUGAAGAACUGCAUCCAUUAGAGCCAUCUGUCACAGAAGGGACUAUUGUCAUUUUACUAAUUUUGUACAUGAGGAUAGGGAAGCAUGGAGAUGGUAACAUGCCUAAAGUCACAUAGCUUCUUAGCUGUGGAACCAGAAAGUAAACCUGGGCCUUCUGGGCCCAGGGCCCGUGGCUGUUAAAACCACUGUGCACACUGCCUUACUCCUACCCUUCACAAUCAGGUUUCUGCUCUGACCACCCUAGAAAACAUGCCCGUCUCAGGUUACCGAUGCUCUCCUAUGGACAGAUCCAAUAGCCUUUGUUAAUUGUCCACAUCUCUAUCCAUUCUGUAAUACUCCUGCAUGCUGCAUCCUUGGAGUUCUUUUCUCCUUUGAUUCUGCAGAACCUGUACUGUUUUGUUUCUCUUUCUGGCUUCCUCUGUCUGUCUCUCUUCACCAACUACAUAAUGCAUUCACUUCUUUUUCUUGGCAUCUCCCUUUCCAAGCACACCCACUCUCCUGGUUUCCAUUAUCUCCCUGCAGACAACUCUCAACUGGCUCUAAGAAAGCUCACUAUAAUUUUCAGCAACCUAAUUCAGUCGUUUGUCCGUCACAAAUAACAGCUCAGGAAAAUCAAAGGAUUUUCUCACUAGCAUCUUAUCAUUCCAUGUCACCUAGCAACUAUCCCAGUGCUUGAUAUUCUGCUACUAGAAACUCCCUACUACACAGAUAAUACCACUGGAAGGUAUAAAGCCACUUGACUGACCUCUCUCCAUUCACAGCAUUUAUAACUGUAAGAAAUUGCCAGUGGUUGACUCUUUCCGACCUUCGAAAGUGGCAAUUUCAUGUGGUUCAGCUUAAUAGUAUUUAUUACCUUGUGCUGUAAUAAUUUUGUAUCUGUAUCUCCCAUGAGACUCAAAGCUGCUUGAUUGAGGAGAUCAUGCUUGCUUCUGCUUUUCAUCAAGUUGCCUAGUACAUGACACUCUGUAAGGAUUAGACCAAGUAGGUAUUGAAUAAUUGUUUGGCGAAUUUAAAAAAUUAAAGAAACAUUUGAAAUCAAUGCACCAGAGGCUAGAGACAGAGUGCUAGGAAGGGAACAGGAUGGGGACAGGGACACCAGAGCAAAGAUAGAGUCAAAGACACAUUUCCAAAAUGGCAAUUCAUGCCUUGUGUCAGUUGUACCCACCUCACAUUCUUUAACACUUAAGGUUUUUCUGGGUAGUAAGUGCAAUACAUUCUUAUUAUAAAACAAUAUAGACAGUUCAGUAUGUAUAAAUGAGGAUAAAAUCAAAAUCACCCACAAUCUCACCACUUUGUGAUAAUAACCAUUAACUUCAAUAUUGAUGAAUUUCCUUGAAUGUUUUAUCUACAAUAUUUCUUUCAUAUAGUUGAUAUCACUCUGUAUGCACAAACUUGUAUCCUUUUUCUAAAUCUUAAUAUCAUAAUAUUAGCAUUUUCUAAUGUUAGUAGAUGUACUUCUUAAAUAUUGCUUUUUAAUGAUAAAGGUUUUUUUUUUUUUUUUUACAAAUAAAGAUUUGUCUAUAUUUUGGGUUAUUUCCUUAACACAUAUUCACAAAGGUAAGAAUUAAAAAGUAAUUUUAACUAAGUCAAGGAGCAUGAAAAGUUUUUAGAUUCUUGGUACACAUUUUUAUCCAGUGUUUUAAAAAACUACUACCAUAGUACACAUCUCCAAUUUCAAUAUCUCUAUGUGAGUGCUUGCCUUAUCAUGAAAAAGUCAAUAUUGAAUAUUAUUAUUAUUUUAUUAUACUUUUAUAACUUCAUUGGCAAAAUGUUAACCUGCCAUUUUAAAGUUUGCCUUUGUUAGAUUAUUA